UUGGCUGAAAAUUAGGGUUUUACCGACUAAUAGAGAUAAGGUUUUUAUGAGGCGUGUUCAUGUUGUUAUCUUGUACGCUAGAUUUCUUAGCCAUGACUCGUCAACCUCGGGAUUUGUGGAGCUCUCGAUGAUCUUGUCAAAUUAAGUCUAUGAAUUGUUGAAUCCCGUUCUGGCCGAGACGUAGGAUCAAUCACACCGGUGGAUCUUAACUCGUUCCAGGUUGAUGCAAGAAUCGAAGUAUAUGGUAUCAUUCAUAGCCCCAUGUUACAAAUAAAAUGGUGAAUACUAUGGAUGGAAGUGGAUCCUUUUGGUGGAAAGGCGAUUUGUCACUAUGGAUGAAUGGAUGCUAAAGACACAAUCCAUGUCGAAGACUAAACAAGCUAGAAUCUGGUGAAACACAUAAAUUGACUUAAGACUCCUCAAAGGUUAGUUUGUGAUAUAGGAAGACUAAAAACUUGAUAAUCUUGAUUGUUUGUGAUGACGUA